rnacentral:rRNA from 1 species
UACGUAGGGUGCAAGCGUUGUCCGGAAUUAUUGGGCGUAAAGAGCUCGUAGGCGGUUUGUCGCGUCUGCUGUGAAAACCCGAGGCUCAACCUCGGGCCUGCAGUGGGUACGGGCAGACUAGAGUGCGGUAGGGGAGACUGGAAUUCCUGGUGUAGCGGUGAAAUGCGCAGAUAUCAGGAGGAACACCGGUGGCGAAGGCGGGUCUCUGGGCCGUAACUGACGCUGGAGGAGCGAAAG